UACGUAUGGUGCAAGCGUUAUCCGGAUUUACUGGGCGUAAAGGGAGCGCAGGUGGCGGGGCAAGCCAGAGGUGAAAACCCAAGGCCCAACCAUGGGAUUGCUUUUGGAACUGCUUGGCUGGAGUGCAGGAGGGGUAAGCGGAAUUCCUGGUGUAGAGGUGAAAUUCGUAGAUAUCAGGAGGAACACCGGAGGCGAAGGCGGCUUACUGGACCGCAACUGACACUGAGGCUCGAAGGCGUGGGGAGCAAAC
rnacentral:rRNA from 1 species